UACAGAGGUCUCAAGCGUUGUUCGGAUUCAUUGGGCGUAAAGGGUGUGUAGGUGGCGCCGUAAGUCGGGUGUGAAAUUUCGGAGCUUAACUCCGAAACUGCAUUCGAUACUGCGGUGCUUGAGGACUGGAGAGGAGACUGGAAUUCAUGGUGUAGCAGUGAAAUGCGUAGAGAUCAUGAGGAACACCAGUAGCGAAGGCGGCACUCUGGGCCGGUACUGACGCUGAGGAGCGAAAGCGUGGGGAGCAAACAGG
rnacentral:rRNA from 1 species